rnacentral:lncRNA from 1 species
UCGAUCGCCGUAAUCUGAUCACCGUCGGGAGGGUCUGAUCAUCGCAAUACAGCUACACAGUAUUUCUGAUCUCUGUGGAUCAUCCACACGAAGCUCUCGAUCUGAUCGACUCCUCACAAAUGCUAGUUCAUCGCAGAACCCUUUUGACGGCCGAUGUUGAUCGAACUCUUUUGAUCUUGAUCUGUCGACUCUUUGGAUGCUCCAGAUCAUCAGUAGAUGUACUUGAGAGGUUGAUGAAGCUCUUCUUGA